AUGUUUGCUGUUUCUCUUCAGUUCUUGUCCAGACAUUGUUGCGUGUACGUGCUCUGUCCCUCAUUGUAUGGUUGUAGCCUGCGCUGUCUCGUCUUGCUUGUUUCCUGCCUGUUCCCUGUCACUUCUUUGGAUUUUGGUUCACACACCUGUUUCUAGACUUUUCUGUUGGAUCACCUUUUGUUUUCUUGGACUACGUUAUUUUGGAUUCCCUCUGUUCAGCCACUCUGUUUGUAAGUGGGCUCGCUCUCAGUUUGUUUCAUUAAACCUUUUGAACUAUACCUGCUCCGCUCUGCGUCCUGCGUUUGGAUCCACCAACCUGCUCACCAAACCGAAUCCUGAGACCCAGAAUUCUGAGAGCUGCUCCAGUGAAACCAGCUCACAAAGAUUCAGCCACCUGCGGGCUACCUGAAUUUUGUGUCUAUUUGUUUCUGACCUUCAUCUCUCUGUGUCUCCCCUCUGAGCAUCUGCUCCAAAUAUUCUGUACUGGGCUGUUCAUUGCAGCCCCUCUCCACCUCUCUGUUUCUCUGUCUGUAUUGAUGUAGCAUUCAAAUUCAAAUGUUUAGUUUGAAUAAUAAACAAAAUAGAAAUGACAGAUUGGCUGACAUGAAUAAGCUAUAGAUUACAUCAAAAAUGGACCGACAUGGAUAAUCAUAAUAAUCUUUAUUAAAGAUUUAACAAAGAUAUAAACUGCUCUACGUGGUUGAUCCAGGAUUAAAAUAUUUCAAUAGGCAAUGAGGCAAAUCAAAUCAGACAAUUAAACAAAUCCAAAAAUAAAAUGGAAUAGAUAACCGAUAAUAACAAGAUUCUUGUCAAUUGCAUAUGAAUAACUAUUAAACUAAGUGAAAGCAUUCUCACCCAAUCCCUUUAACUUUGUUUUGGUUUUGCAGCACAUUUACAGUAAAACCAAAACUGUAAGGUUUAGUCUCAGUGCUCUCAUCUGUCUUCAGCAGAGCAUCUCUGGUUCAACCACUGUAGCUAAACCAAUUAUUCAACAUCAAACAGCACACAGACAAAGUUAGCAAGUAACUGGUGAACGAAGUUGAAAAUCUAGCAGCUAAAGUGACAGAGACAGUAUUUAGCAGUAGGUGGAGACCAGAUGCUUAAAUUAUGUUUAAAUAGAAAAUUGAUUGCUAACAUGUUAGCCAUAGAAAUUAACAUGAUGAUAAUUAUCAAUACAAAUUUUAUCUUAUCCAUGUCCUCAUGUGGCAUUGUUCUUACGACACCAUAAUGUUCCUGCUCUGUGUAGAAAAAGCAGAGGCAACACCAGACUGCCAGGGAGGUUAAACCAGAGUCCACAAGACAUCAUCACACAAUAACUAUUUCCUAUCGACAUAGUAAAAACACCCAAAAAACUAAAACUAAUAAGUGAGUUAUUACAACUUAUUUAUUUAACACGUGCUUCAGUACUUGGGGCGAAAGUUCUGAAAACACACAUGCCUUUGUUGUGAAAUGCGGGAAAGCCAACUUAAACCGUUGAUGUUUGUCCUUCCACUUCUCUGACUGGCUAUUAUGGAUCAGAGCAACACUUGAGAGCACCCAGAUUUGAAUGCUGUGCAAAUUCUGUAAGUUCACCUACGACAGUGAAGCAGACUGGCCUUGCAUCCAUAGACUGUCCUGAAUUUAGACACAGCUGGCUCAGAUAGGUGAUGGGAUGAACGACAGCCAGGUAGCGCUCCACACAGGUCAGGAUCUGAAAGUACGUCUCUCCAUACCAGGUGAAGGACCAAAGACAAAACCCUACAAAAGAUACAAUCACAUGAUCCCUAUAGAGACCACAAAGGAUGAGGAUACAUCCGAAGACACCAAUCAGCUCCAUGGCAACCAUGUGGUAGGUGAAGCUGUCUGAGUGACUCGUCAUUGCUGCUGUGGAGGUGGAGCGUCGUUGUUGAAGACCCAGGUAGAGGAUGAGGAUACAGAGAGGGAGGAGGAGGAUGAUGUUUGUGCUGAAGUACAUGGUGUAUAUUGAGAAGCCUGUUCUGGUGAAGAAGCACUCAGUCCCAGAAAGGAGGUAGGAGUUGAUGGAGGACAGAUUAGGAUGAAGAAGAGAGUGAUUGGAGGAGAAAGAGUUUGCUGACAUAUCUGUAAAAGAAAGACAUUAAAAUUAAAUUUAAAAAAUGUAUGAAUUACAUCUAUUGUAUGUCUUUCAAUCCAAGAAGACGGACAGGUCAUUCACUGUUCCUACUGCUGUUUUAUUUUUUAUUUUUAAGUUUUGAAUUCACUGAUCUAAAGAUUAACUGUAAAGUCCUUUAACACACUUCAAUGCUUUUGAAUUACUUAAGAACUGACGUGACUUUACAGUUGCUGAGUUUAAAGUGGGCUCAUCCCUUUUUUUAGAUGUCUUCUUUGGAGUAUCACUGCAUGCACAUGAGCUACAUCUUUUAGAUAAUCAUUAUAACGUGAGUUUAGUAAUUUUGUACAACCUAUACGUGAGAUUCUGAGUAUCUGAGUGUUUUUCAAGAUAUUUAAAUGUAGUUAGGAGAUUGAAUAUUUAAAUUAAAUUUAACAUCUGGACAGAAAAACAACCUGAAAUGAAUGCUAUUAUUGCUAUAUUUCCUAACAUGUUUGUCAAAACAAUUUCAUGAGGUUGAUAUAUGUAAAUGUUGUGUUUACAGCUUGUUGAAUAAAAUUAUCAUGAUCAUGA